rnacentral:ncRNA from 1 species
AAAAAGAAAUACCACCCUCGUUGUAAAGCGGGUCCGGAAAGCCGACGGGUCUCUUUUUUGUAUCGAGAUGGCCGGGUUGCCUCC